CACCUUCCAAGGGGACAGGUCUUAGACACUCCCAGCCAGCCUGUGAGCUGACACCCAACACCAUGGGCUGCCACCCAGCACCGGGCUCCAUGCCUCACUCCGUGCCAUUGGAGCAGAGAGUCGGGACUUAAUGCCAUGUUUGGAGUGUGUCAGCAGACAUCAUCUAAAAUUUUCAGCCUGGUGCUGUUCAGGAAGGAAGGACAGCAGGAGGGGCUUUCCAUGAACUUGAGACGCUGGAGGAGAGAAACACGUCAGCCACUCUGGUGUGGAUGGACGUUGCUGAGCUGGCCUAGGUUCCCUUUUCGUCCUUCGUACCCCUGUGCCCCUUCACAUGCCUUUGACUC